AUAAGCAAUGUAAUAAUAAUGCCCAUUGGAAUGAGCAAUCUCGUGGGGAAAAAUAAAACUUGACCUAUAUCCACAAUAACCAGUUUGAAUGGGUCUGAGGAUCAGGACUGGGGAAUGAGACUGAAAGAUGGGCAGCAGAAGUCAGGCUGCAGGUAGAGAUGGUAACAUCCCUGCCCAAGAGCUCCUCUGUAAUGUCUGAAUACACCAGGUGUGGCGACACUUUCAACCUGAACCCCAAAAAUGAGCAGCCUACAGUUGACUAGAACCUUGGAGUCCAGCUUUUCUCAGCUAUGCCUAACCUAGAUCAGUGGAAGCCCAGUCAGCCUACACACAUAGAUACUGAAAAAUCUACAGCACGGCUGGUUGCUGGGAACCAGAGCAGAGAGAAAGAAGCCAGAAGAUGACCUUCUUUGAAGUCUUUAGACCAUGAUUCGAGACUGGCUCUUCUCUGCUUAGUCCUCAGUCCUUUGGAAAAUGGCAGCCCUGAACACAGUUUACACCAUUAGAAAGGUUAUGGAAGGGUCUCAGGACCUAUAAACCCUGUUGCAUUAUUAAAG
rnacentral:lncRNA from 1 species